rnacentral:rRNA from 1 species
AUUCUUCUUUCCGAUUUGAAUCUAUGGAAUCAAUCAUUUCGCUAACAAGAAGCAAGAAUUCUUAAUCUCUCUCAACCUCAAUUUCUCUCUCAAUUCUACAAUUCACCAAUGGAGUACCUUUCUAUUCAUCAGUUUAAUUCCUCCUAAAAAUUGUAUUGAUUUAUCCUAAAGAUUGCAUUUCAAUUGCAAUUUGGUUAUUCACCAUGUACGAGGAUUCCUAUUAUGUUAAGCAUCCAUGGCUGAAUGGUUAAAUUGCCGCGAAUUCGUAGGUUCAAUUCCUACUGGAUACACGCCAAUGGGAUUUUUUUUAGAAAUUGGAUAUAGUUACUAAUUCAUGAUUUGGCAUGUAUAGAAUGAAAACUUCAUUCUCGAUUCUACGAGAUUUUUUAUGAAAGCCUUUCAUUUGCUUCUUUUCGAUGGAGGUUUGAUUCCCCAGAAUGUAUUCUAAUUUUUGGUCUAAUUCUUCUUCUGAUGAUCAAUUUAACCUCUGAUAAAAAAGAUAUCUCUUGGUUAUAUUUCAUCUCUUCAACAAGCUUAGUAAUGAGAAUAACGAUCCUUUUGUUUCGUUGGAGAUAAGAACCUAUGAUUAGCUUUUCGGGAAAUUUCCAAACGAACAAUUUCAACGAAAUCUUUCAAUUUCUUAUUUUACUAUGUUCAACUCUAUGUAUUCCUCUAUCCGUAGUGUACAUUGAAUGUACAAAAAUGGCUAUAAUAGAGUUUCUCUUAUUUGUAUUAACGACUACUUUAGGAGAAAUAUUUUUAUGCGGUGGUAACGAUUUAAUAACUAUCUUUGUAACUCCAGAAUGUUUCAGUUAUGCUCCUACCUAUUAUUUGGAUAUACAAGAAAGAUGUACGGUCCUAUGAGGCUACCAUGAAACAUUUACUCAUAGGUGGGGCAAGCUCUUCUAUUCAGGUUGAUGGUUUCUUUUGGCUAUAUGGUUUAUCUGGGGAAGAGAUCGAGCUUCAAGAAAUAGUAAAUGAUCUUAUUUAUCAAUACACAAAUGUAUAACUCCCCAGGAAUUUCAAUUGCGCUCAUAUUCAUCAUUGUAGGAAUUGGGUUCAAGCUUUCCCUGGCUUUUUCUCAACAGUGGACUCUUGACGUAUACGAAGGAGUGUUGUUUCAAAGCUCCAUGGACAUGCAGAAGAGAAAUGCUAUCCCCAUUCGGACCAAGACAGAACUUUGACUUGUUCAAAUAACAAUUAGGGAUAAUUACAUUAAGCAACCCAAACUAUGGGCGUUUUUACACUUUGCAACCUAACAAAAAAAAAAUUUCGAUCACCACCUGAACUUCGCGAAAUUUUGUACGUUGCAAUUAGGUGCAUUUUUCGAUGGAAUAUUUCACCAGAAUCAUCUCACAUGUUAUGCACGUGGGAAUAGCAAACCGAAAUUGGCAAUAAAAAGUUUUACUUCACCACCUAAACUUUGCGAAAUUUUGCACAUUGCAUCCUAAUAGCAUAUUCUGGUAGAAUAUUCCACUGAAAAAUGCACUUAGGUUGCAAUAUGCAAAAUUUUGCAAAGUUCAAGUGGCAAUAGGAAUUUUUUUUUUUUUUUUUAGGUUGCAAAGUGUAAAAAUGCCCAUAGUAUGACUUGCUUAAUGUAAUUAUCCCUAACAAUUAAGGUGAAGCAGGGUGAGGAACAACGAAUCUCUUUAUGAUAAACAGAUCCAUUUUGCAAGUUCGUCAUUAUGAGUAGUUCCUGCAAAGGAUCGAACUAAUGACGAACACAAUACUUGAAUUCUCGAUGUAGAUGCUAUAUAGUUGAUUCUCAUCCUUCAGAGACUACGAGUGUAAUAGGAGCAUUCAUCGAUAAAAGGAUCACCCCAAGAUGAUCAUUUCAUGGCUAUUGAGAAUGAAUUAAAGCAGAUGGUUCUAUUUCUUAAUCUUUUUUACUUGCUCCUAUGGAACCAAGGUUGAAAAAAUUGAAAAAAUAAUUGGGGUUUUGAAUAAGAUGACUUUUUGAUUUUUCAUUUUAUUUGUUAAAAAAGGAAUAAGAAUGAGAGGUGUUAAGCUUUUUAUCAUCCUGGUGUCGAGCUAUUUUUCCGUAGGACCUCCCCUACAGUAUCGUCCCCGUCUCCACUGGAUUUGUUCCCGGGAGUACCCUAAAAAAAAGGAGCCUUUCCUCUCCCCAGCCAUUUCAGGUUAAGAAGAUGUGAAAGUGCGUUUAUCUCUAUAAGAACGGUGCGUUCCGAGGUGUGAAGUGGGAGAGAAGGGAUGUCAUAAUUGAGGUUUUGAAUAAGAUGACCUUUUGAUUUUUCAUUUUAUUCGUUGAAAAAGGAAUAAGAAUGAGAGGUGUACAACCACUGAUGAAGGAUUCCUCGAAAAGUUAAGGAUUAGUAUUCUUUUUUAGAAAUUGAAUGGAUUCGGUCUUAUACAUACGGGAGGAAAGUAAUCAAAAGAGAAAGAAGAUGAGUUCUCUCUUUUAUCACUUAGGAGCCAUGUGAGACGACAGUCUCAUGCAUGGUUUUGAAUGAGAGAAAGAAGUGAGGAAUUCUCUUUUCGACUCUUACUUUCCCAUUUUGGUCUUUGCUUUUCUUUCUGUUACUUCGAAAGUAGCUGCUUUAGCUUCAGUACUCGAAUUUCGACCUGUCCAGCAGGGAUGAAAGUCGGCUUUGGUUAUCCGACAGUGCCGAGUGGAAGGGCCGUCGCUCAAUAGAUAAAAGUUACUCCAAGGAUAAUAGGUUGAUCUUCUCGGAGAACUCAUAUCGACGAGAAGGUUUGGCACCUUGAUGUCGGCCCUUUGCCACCUAGAGUUGUUGUAUGUUCCAAGGGGUGGGCUAUUUGCCCAUUAAAGAGGUAUGUGAGCUAAGUUCACAACGUUAUGAGACAAUUUGGUCUAUAUCCGGUAUGGGUGUUAGAGCAUUGAGAGGACCUUUUCCUAGUAUGAGAGGAUUGGGAAGGACACACCUCUAGUGUACUAGUUAUCGUGCCCAUGAUAAACGCGGGGUAGCCAAGUGCGGUGCGGAUAAUUACUGAAAGCAUCUAAAUAGUAAGCUCACCUCAAGAUGAGUGCUGCUCUCCUAUUCUGACUUCCCCAAAGCUUCCGAUAGCAUAGCCGAGACAGUGACGAGUUAUCUGCCCCUGGGGGGCUGGGCGACAAAAGUUUUGAGGAUUUAGGAUAAGAUCACGGUGAGAUGAGCCGUUUAUCAUUACGAUAGGUGUCAAGUGGAAGUGCAUUAC